rnacentral:lncRNA from 1 species
GUGGUCUGCGUUGGAAUGGACUUUGGACCCCGGCCUCUUGGGAUGCAAAGGCAGGUGACUUGGAGUUUCCACGCUGGAAGAUAUACUCCUCGAGAUCAGCACUGAGUCGUGCUCAACACUCUACGGGCCCAGGAGAGGUAGGCAGCCACCACCUCUGCCUGUCAUCUGCUGGACCGGGCCCUGGGGUUCUCCCCUUCCAGCUGUAUGUGCCUGGUGUGUGGAGAGGGUUGGGGCUGAGGCUGAUAGGGUCAGGGGUCUCUCAGUGCUCCUGCUUUGGGCUGGCAGCUCUGCCUGGUCUGAGGGAGUCUGACCAGAGUGGACCUGUUGGGGGUGAGAAUGGGGACUUGCACAGUUCAAAAUAUGACAGUUAACAUUUAUUGAGUGCUCAGUAUGUGUCAAGCUUUGUGUCAUGGUCUUUACCUGCGUUAUUUCACUUAAUCCUCAGCAACCCUAGGAGGCAGGUACUAACAUCAUGUCUGAUUUAUAGAGGAGGGAAUCAAGGCUUCGGAUCCCAGAGCUAAGAAGUAGGAUUGAAACCCAAGUCUGUCCCUGGAGCCCAGGCUCUUACUGCCUACACUGUCCUGUCUCAUCUGAGCAGGUCCUCUAGAUGCCACCUCUUCCCAAAAGCCUUCCCAGCUCGCCAGAGACUAAGUGAGGGUUUUCUCCCUGUGUUCUCAUGGCUUCCCAGUCGGAAUGCCUGUCCCACUGAGUUGCAGCUGCCGGGUUACUUCUCUCAGAGCAGAGACUGUGCAGAGGGCUUUCUGCCAUUGUCCCUGAUGGAUCCCUGGCAUGUACCAUGGUGCCUGGAACAAAGCCAGCUCCCGGUGCAGUCUGUGGGAUAGAUGGGCAUGCAGGUGUGUCUGGUAGGGUGCUGCCCCCAGCGCCUCCACUCGGGGUAUCAGGAGUCAGGGGCUCUGGACAUAGACGUUGGCUGCUUGGUCAUCCAGAGACUCCCUCUUAGAUGCCACGCUCAGCAGAAGCCACAGGGCCUGUGAGUCCCUGAGUU